rnacentral:rRNA from 1 species
UACGUAGGGUGCAAGCGUUGUCCGGAAUUAUUGGCGUAAAGAGCUCGUAGGCGGUUUGUCGCGUCUGCUGUGAAAACUCAGGGCUUAACCCUGAGCCUGCAGUGGGUACGGGCAGACUAGAGUGUGGUAGGGGAGAUCGGAAUUCCUGGUGUAGCGGUGGAAUGCGCAGAUAUCAGGAGGAACACCGGUGGCGAAGGCGGGCUCUGG